rnacentral:misc_RNA from 1 species
AAGUCGUAACAAGGUUUCCGUAGGUGAACCUGCGGAAGGAUCAUUAACACGUAUCCAACGUUAAACCCCCCUGUGAACUUUUAUACUUGCUCUCGUGGCUACCGGAAUUGCAAUCCCUGGUAAAUCAUUGUUGAACAGAUUUUGAUUCAGGGACCUCAGUUUGGUAGUUUCGAUCGAGCGAUCGUUGCAAGUGGCCUGGUUUCCCCAAGCAGUCAGUGUCUGAAAGUGUCAUUGAUUGUGUAAGGAUUUCGCUUAGCGAUCACUGGAGGUCGAUCACCGACCGGUGGAUCAAGUCACAGGGCUUCGGCUCCCUCCCCAACCCCACUUCCUAUUGCCGCUCCGCGCUAACAACGCCGGGCAUUUAAAACGUACUAAACAACUGUUAACAAUGGAUAUCUUGGUUCUC